rnacentral:rRNA from 1 species
AGCACUGUAGGUGUCAGCAGCCGCGGUAAUACGUAUGGUGCAAGCGUUAUCCGGAUUUACUGGGUGUAAAGGGUGCGUAGACGGGGAAUCAAGUUAGUUGUGAAAUCCCUCGGCUUAACUGAGGAACUGCAACUAAAACUAAUUUUCUUGAGUGCUGGAGAGGAAAGUGGAAUUCCUAGUGUAGCGGUGAAAUGCGUAGAUAUUAGGAGGAACACCAGUGGCGAAGGCGACUUUCUGGACAGUAACUGACGUUGAGGCACGAAAGUGUGGGGAGCAAACAGGAUUAGAUACCCUGGUAGUCCACACCGUAAACGAUGGAUACUAGGUGUAGGGGAUGAAUAAUCUUCUGUGCCGUCGCAAACGCAGUAAGUAUCCCACCU